rnacentral:rRNA from 1 species
CAGUAGCCGCGGUAAUACGUAUGUCGCAAGCGUUAUCCGGAAUUAUUGGGCAUAAAGGGCAUCUAGGCGGCCAGACAAGUCUGGGGUGAAAACUUGCGGCUCAACCGCAAGCCUGCCCUGGAAACUGUUUGGCUAGAGUGCUGGAGAGGUGGACGGAACUGCACGAGUAAAGGUGAAAUUCGUAGAUAUGUGCAGGAAUGCCGAUGAUGAAGAUAGUUCACUGGACGGCAACUGACGCUGAAGUGCGAAAGCUAGGGGAGCGAACGGGAUUAGAUACCCCAGUAGUCCCUGUCUCUUAUAA